UUGCCAUGAUGAUAUCAUGUACUAAUUGAGAGUGUUAUUACAAUGCUCAAUGAAACGUCGACAAUAUGUCGAUCUGAGCGGUUACCUGAGCAA